rnacentral:sRNA from 1 species
AGGAGCUGCAGAGUUCCUCGCUGUCGCUGCUGCUGCUGUGCCCCAGCUCAGCUGUCAAUAAGAACAAGGGCAAGUAUAUCCUGACCCCAAGCCCCAUCACCUACGGGGAGGAGCAGCUGCUGCACUUCCUGGGGCAGCUGCUGGGGAUUGCAAUUCGGGCAGAUGUCCCGCUGCCCCUGGACCUCCUGCCCUCCUUCUGGAAGACGCUGGUGGGCGAGCCCUUGGACCCUGAGCAAGACCUGCAGGAAGCGGAUAUCCUCACCUACAAUUACGUCAAGAAGUUUGAGAGCGUGAGUGCAAGGCACAGUUCUGGGGGGCUGCAGAACCCGGGGCCUCCCCGCCACCUUGCUUAGGCCUCCAUGCAGACCCGAGCUCCCUGCUGAGGCUGGGUUGGGAUCCCACAGAGGACCUUAGGGGUGUGAGCCAUGUGCCAGGAAGGCUUGUUUCAUGGGGACAGAGGCCUCUGGCCUCCCUCCCUGCUGGCAGCAGAGAUUGGAGGUGACACGACCAGCCCUGCUGGCCCUCCCCUCCCACAUUGGUGCUCGUUGCCUGGCCAUGGGCAAGGGCUCCUGGAGUUGAGUGAACAGGCACUGGGAGAACAGCUGUAGGGGUGAAGGCUAAGAGUUUUUUUCAGGGACUCAGAGCACAGGAGUCAGCCCUGGGACCACCUGAGGUCCACCAAGGGGGAGGCGUCAGGAUGGAGCCCUUCCUGCCUGUCCAGGGCAUGCGUACGCCACGCACAGAUGUUGACAGCAUGGUGCUGUUGCCCAGUGCCCCCCUGGAGGGAGAUGGGGUCCACAGUCCCUCCGUUCACUCAGUGGCCGUCACUGAGGCCCAGUCACGGGCCAACCAGGCUCUGGGCACUCGCCCUGUCCUCAGGGAGUGUCCAGGCUCGUCUCCUUCGUGUUGGAGGGCGGAGGGCUUUAUUCCAUCAUCACAAGGCCAGGAGGAAAGUGAGGCUCACCAAAGGGGGGUGACUUGCCUGGGCCCUCACAGCUGGCAGGGAGCAGAGCCACCAGGAGCCCAGGGCUGACUGCUGUGACUUCCGGGCUCUCCAGCACCACAUGCCCUGCAGCUGAGAGAGCCAUCCUGGCUGAGUGUGGAGGGCAACGUCCCACCCAGCGCCCCUCAAGGCCACGAGAGUGGACGUCGUGCCUGAGGCCCGGCAGAAGCUGCUCUCUCCUGGGCCUCAGGUGAAGGAGGUGCCAGCUGCUUCUGCCUAUGCCGGCAGAAUACUCCAUGGCCAACUGAGGCACUGCUUGGCCAGGUCUCUGGUCUCUGCCAUUGUCCCCCUGGGUCACUCAGGGCAGCCAUUGCAAGACAAUAGCAGAGCCAGAGUCCCGGAUGCCAGUGGCUUCUCGGUAGAAACAGGGAUGACAAGGCAUUGUCUAAAGGGUGGAAGAACACCCACAGUGGGCUGGGGGUUU